GCCUUGCAGUUUGAUCUCAGACUGCUGUGCUAGCAGUCAGCGAGACUCUGUGUGCGUAGGACCCUCCGAGCCAGUGAGAUGAAACCGGUACCUCAGAUGGAAAUGCAGAAAUCACCCGUCUUCUGCGUCGCUCACGCUGGGAGCUGUGGACCGGAGCUGUUCCUAUUCGGCCAUCUUGGCUCCUGCAUCUCCACAUUGAAGUUUCAUGCUGGUGUGUCUGACUUGGUGGAGUCUAAGUCACAUAACUACACCUUGGCUGCGAAGAAUGCUUGGGAAGGAGCUCCUGGCUUUUAACUUUGGAAGAUAGGAUUUAUGAGAUGGGAAAUUAUCCAAACAGAGAACGACACUGGGCAGUCAAAACAGCUUGCCAAAUGGCCAGUGCAGAGGUCAAGUUGAAUGAGGUACAAUGGUGUUCUCAUUUUACAGAUGGGAAAACUGAGGUGCACUGAGUAGCUACAGUUGGCUGUACUAUGCUCUCUUCUCCAAUAUUUUUGCCAUGCCUCUUAGAAGCAUUUUGAU
rnacentral:lncRNA from 1 species